AGAGUUUGAUCCUGGCUCAGGAUGAACGCUGGCGGCGUGCUUAACACAUGCAAGUCGAGCGAAGCAGUUAAGUUGAUUUCUUCGGAUUGAUUCUUGACUGACUGAGCGGCGGACGGGUGAGUAACGCGUGGGUGACCUGCCCCAUACCGGGGGAUAACAGCUGGAAACGGCUGCUAAUACCGCAUAAGCGCACAGAGCUGCAUGGCUCAGUGUGAAAAACUCCGGUGGUAUGGGAUGGGCCCGCGUCUGAUUAGGCAGUUGGCGGGGUAACGGCCCACCAAACCGACGAUCAGUAGCCGGCCUGAGAGGGCGACCGGCCACAUUGGGACUGAGACACGGCCCAAACUCCUACGGGAGGCAGCAGUGGGGAAUAUUGCACAAUGGGGGAAACCCUGAUGCAGCGACGCCGCGUGAGCGAAGAAGUAUUUCGGUAUGUAAAGCUCUAUCAGCAGGGAAGAUAAUGACGGUACCUGACUAAGAAGCCCCGGCUAACUACGUGCCAGCAGCCGCGGUAAUACGUAGGGGGCAAGCGUUAUCCGGAUUUACUGGGUGUAAAGGGAGCGUAAACGGCACGGCAAGUCUGAUGUGAAAACCCAGGGCUUAACCCUGGGACUGCAUUGGAAACUGUCUGGCUCGAGUGCCGGAGAGGUAAGCGGAAUUCCUAGUGUAGCGGUGAAAUGCGUAGAUAUUAGGAAGAACACCAGUGGCGAAGGCGGCUUACUGGACGGUAACUGACGUUGAGGCUCGAAAGCGUGGGGAGCAAACAGAAUUAGAUACCCUGGUAGUCCACGCCGUAAACG
rnacentral:rRNA from 1 species